AACGCUAGCUACAGGCUUAACACAUGCAAGUCGAGGGGCAGCACAAGGCAGCAAUGCUGAGGUGGCGACCGGCGCACGGGUGCGUAACGCGUAUCCAACCUUCCCGUUACUCAUGGAUAGCCUUCCGAAAGGGAGAUUAAUACAUGAUGGUGUUGAAAUUCCGCAUGUUAUUUCAACUAAAGAUUUAUCGGUAACGGAUGGGGAUGCGUGACAUUAGAUAGAUGGCGGGGUAAUGGCCCACCAUGUCCACGAUGUCUAGGGGUUCUGAGAGGAAGGCCCCCCACACUGGAACUGAGACACGGUCCAGACUCCUACGGGAGGCAGCAGUGAGGAAUAUUGGUCAAUGGCCGGAGGGCAGAACCAGCCAAGUAGCGUGAAGGAUGAAGGUUCUAUGGAUUGUAAACUUCUUUUAUGAGGGAAUAAAACCUCCCACGUGUGGGAGCUUGUAUGUACCUUAUGAAUAAGCAUCGGCUAACUCCGUGCCAGCAGCCGCGGUAAUACGGAGGAUGCGAGCGUUAUCCGGAUUUAUUGGGUUUAAAGGGAGCGUAGACGGGAGAUUAAGUCAGCUGUGAAAGUUUGAGGCCCAACCUUAAAAUUGCAGUUGAUACUGGUUUCCUUGAGUGCGGUUGAGGUGUAUGGAAUUCGUGGUGUAGCGGUGAAAUGCUUAGAUAUCACGAAGAACUCCGAUUG
rnacentral:rRNA from 1 species